GCAGCCAGACUGACCAGUCUCUGAAACACUGAAGUAUACCUGACCUGAUGUGCUCUUCGCCCUCAGGAUGUGCCACAGUUUUGACCUCUGUCUGGUUUAUAUUACUCUCUGAGGUAGUUUACUCAGAUGAGUCACCUGCUGUCUGGACCGUAGACCACUAAAGACUAAUGGAUUGUGAGUACAGAUUACACUAUAGCAGACUGGUACCAGAGUUUAAAGGAGGCCGCUGGCCUGAUGCCAGGGCAUGCUGGGAGUCCGUUCAGGGGAGACGCUCUGACGCCAUCCUGCUGAGAUCCGUGCUUCUGUUUUGGGGAGAUGAGGUUAUGACAGAAGUGGGAUCCUAAAGUGAACAAGAGCCCAAAAUCAGGGCAUGUACCAACAUGUCCCAAUUUUGGUAAGAAGAUGCCCACUCAUGCUGCACUCCUCCAGUGAGACGCUGAAAAACAAUUCUAGAGAGAGACCUGUGACCCAGAGGAGAUGAUGUUUUCCUCUAUAACAAGCACUAAACACUGAACACUAGAGUAAUGAUGCUCAGUGGUGUCUGAAGGAGUGGGAGGAGAACUCAGAUUCAUCUCAAACCGAGACGGUAAACAAAUUAAAGGUCAGCGCCACUGAAACAGUAUUUGCUCUGACAGCUUGUGAGGAUGGCAUAAGUUUGAUUUCAUCAUUGAUAAGGAUAAAGUUUUGUUUUUGCUGUGUGUAUGUUUUUUAACCCUUAAAAUCCUA